CCCUUUUGCACAACACCUUGUCAAAAAAAUAGGUUAAAAAAAAAACAACUUUCAUUUCAGCAACCAGUCAGGGACUGAAACCUCCUCGAGUCCCACUGGAAACCACCUGGCCUCUAGUCAGUGGAUAAUCUGUUAGUAACUAGGCCCUCCUUCUUCAGUUGCUCCUUUAAUUGCGGUCCUUUUCUGGUCAGACAAUAGAUUUCAAAAUCUAUUUUCCAAAUCUGUUGGCUCCCAACAGCAAAUAUAGCUAAAGCAGCCGGAAAUAGGUGUAUCAUUGCU